GACGAACGCUGGCGGCGUGCCUAAUACAUGCAAGUCGAACGCUUCUUUCCUCCCGAGUGCUUGCACUCAAUUGGAAAGAGGAGUGGCGGACGGGUGAGUAACACGUGGGUAACCUACCCAUCAGAGGGGGAUAACACUUGGAAACAGGUGCUAAUACCGCAUAACAGUUUAUGCCGCAUGGCAUAAGAGUGAAAGGCGCUUUCGGGUGUCGCUGAUGGAUGGACCCGCGGUGCAUUAGCUAGUUGGUGAGGUAACGGCUCACCAAGGCCACGAUGCAUAGCCGACCUGAGAGGGUGAUCGGCCACACUGGGACUGAGACACGGCUCAGACUCCUACGGGAGGCAGCAGUAGGGAAUCUUCGGCAAUGGACGAAAGUCUGACCGAGCAACGCCGCGUGAGUGAAGAAGGUUUUCGGAUCGUAAAACUCUGUUGUUAGAGAAGAACAAGGACGUUAGUAACUGAACGUCCCCUGACGGUAUCUAACCAGAAAGCCAUGGCUAACUACGUG
rnacentral:rRNA from 1 species